rnacentral:lncRNA from 10 species
AGAGGUUGUUUUAGCAGAAGUCAUGUCUGCACCACUGACAGCUGAUCCAGCAGCCCAGUUGCCUCUGUCAGGAAUCAGAUCAUGAAGAAAUUUGUGGCCUGCUAGAGAGUUUGGGUGUUAUCGGCCAUGGAGGCCAGUGGAAGAUUUAAAAUGCCUAAGGAAUCAUCAUUAGGAUCAGGGCCAGGAGGAAGGGGAAGUGUCUGCCUGCUGGUGUGCAUGGCGUGAAGGUCGUCUCUGCCAUCCAGAAAGCAGACUUUCUCCCACAGACACCAGAUACGGUGGGGACUCUUGGGGCUGCAGAGCAACUCCUCCCUCUAGUUGAGCAUUGAGCUGGAUGAAGAGAGGUAGAAGGAUGCAUUUGUCAGCUCUGGCUCCAGAAACACUUGCUGGCCAUCUCCAUCUGGAAACCCAAGUUUGCACUGCCCAGUCACUAUUUCAGCUUCUCCUCAGACCUGAGGUUGGAAGAAUGAUAUCUGUAGUGGGUUGAAUUGUGUGUCCAAAAGGAUAUAUCCAAGUCCUAAUCUCUGGUACCUGUGAGUAAGACUUUAUUUGAAAAUAAGGUCUUUGCAAAUAUAAUUAAGGUUAAGAGAGAUGAGAUCAUCCUAGAUUUAGUGGGAGUUCUAAACCCAAUGAUUGAUGUCUUUGAAAGAGAAAGCAGAGGGACAUUUGAGACACAGAGACGCGGGGAGAAGGUGGCCAUGAGAAGAUGGAGGCAGAGACUACAGUUACACAGGUGCAAGCCAAGGAACACCAGUGGUGGCCGGCACCCAUGAGAUGCUUGGAGAAUGGCAUGGAAUGAAUUCUCCCUCUGAGCCUCCAAAGAGAACCAACCCUGCUGAAUUUGGACUUCUUGCCUCCAGAACUGUGAAAGAAUAAGUUUCUGCUGUUUGAAACCCCCGUUUGUGGUAAUUUGUUAUAGUAGCCCUAGGAAACUGAGAUAAUAUCCCAUUUAAUUGCUUUUAUGGCACUUGGGUACAGGAAACCUAGUGACCAUCUCAGAAGUAAUCACUACUCUCUGGUGGCUUGCCUCUUCUCCCCCGCCUAUUCCCCUCAGAUAGACACCUUCUCAACCAGCUGUUUCCCAUCUUUUCUUCAUUCUUUCUCUAGAGCAGAAGCUGUUCUUCCCAGCUUAGAUGCUGUUCUGAACUCAGGGUAACAGCCAAUUAAGCAGGUCUUUACUGAAGUCUUGCAGUACACCAGAUGCUAAAGGUGCCCAGUAGAUCCCAAGUGUGACAAGGACCAGAAAAAGCACACUUUUCUCAGGCAUUUAGUAAGAAAAGCCUUUCCCAUUUUAUGUUUUUUAUUUCUACUACCCAGAGCAAUAUGACAUUCCAGGGCAAUCAUUCUUACAUUUCAGAAAACAUCAAAAAAUAGCUUAUCCUUAAAACAAAGUUGGAGAGCUCAUCCUAUUCUAAGGCUUGGCCUGAGCCUGUAGAUCAGAGAGGGUUCCAUGAUCUUAGGAAGUCACCCAGGACUUCUCAUUUCCACUUGAACACCUAACACUAUACCAAAGCAAGUAUUUCCCCAGAUUGCCCCAGUUCAUGAACUGACCGUGUAGUGUGAUGUAGAAAUUGCAAAUUUUGGUGAGCCCUGGAAUUAAAAUGUGUCUUCCUUUCUGGAAAUUUAAAAAAAAUAAAUGAAAGGACUAGCCAUAUCCACAUAUGGUUCUGCCCUAGUCAUUUAACCUCUGUUUGGCCCAGUUUGCUUAUUUAUGCAUUAAGUGGAGAUUGUGAAAGGACAUCUUAUGAAUUAAUUAAUUAACAAUUGAAAGGGGCUUUAAAAGUGCUAUGCAAAUGAUAAGCAUUAUUGUAAGGCCCAUGGG